rnacentral:lncRNA from 1 species
GACUAUAGCAUGUUGAUUGUUCAUGGCGUUUCAAGGGCUCAAUUGAGAAAGGCUGGUAUAUCUCAAACGCCUCGAUGAAACCCGCGGUUGGUGGUGUGUGAGGUUGUUAGGUACAUCAGUGCACAGAAACUUGCAGUCUAAGGAGCUUGAAGUGUCAUGUUGCGUGUUGUUUGAAGAGAACAUUUAAUAUUAUGAAUUUUA